CCCCUAGAUGUUCUGGGCCGCACGCGCGCUACACUGAACAGUUCAACAAGUCUUAACCUUGGCCGAUAGGUCUGGGUAAUCUUUGAACGCUGUUCGUGAUUGGGAUAGACCUUUGCAAUUAUGGGUCUUCAACGAGGAAUUCCUAGUAAACGCAAGUCAUCAGCUUGCAUUGAUUACGUCCCUGCCCUUUGUACACACCGCCCGUCGCACCUACCGAUUGAGUGAUCCGGUGAAAUCUCGGGACGGCGGCUUGGUCGCUUGCGUCCGACUGCUGAAACUUGAUUAAACCAUAUCAUUUAGAGGAAGGUGAAGUCGUAACA
rnacentral:rRNA from 1 species